GGAGCCGGUUCCCGGCCCCUGCGGCUGUCCGGGCCCUGCCUGGCUCAGAGCGGCUGCCGGCAGGACGCAGCCCGCAAUGGAGCGGCCCCGCUGCCUGGGCGCUGCCCGCGGCGGGAAGGCACCGCGGAAGACGCGCCACUUGUCCCCGCUGCCGGGGGCGGCCUUGCUGCCGGGCCGAGCCGUCGGCCGGGCCGGUGCCUCCCAGCAGUGCCGGCGGCGCCUCUUCGACAGCGGGAGCUCCCGCGGGCCGAAGCCCGGCAACCUGCAGAGAAAGCCCUGUGUGAAAACCCUCCCCCACAUUACAGAAGGCCUUGAAGUCACCCAAGUGAGAGAUUUGCGCAACCCAAGCAAUCAAGUGAAUGUCAAAGAAACAACAGGCCUGGAUAAAAGAGAAGAGGCAGUUGAAGGAAGCAGUGUACCCCUGAAGGAGUCCCUGAUAAUCAACAAUGAAAGUAAAGACAAUUCGAAGAAUGCUGACGUGACUUCAAGUACAGGAAUGACUCUUCCCACAGGUGUUACAACCUAUCUCCUGGAGUGUUUAGAUGUAGAUUCAACUGUAGAUUUUAACACAGGUGCUAGCGACAACCCGAACAGUUGCCCGUCCCCUGAAAUAUUCAGAGAUGAUGGUUCAGAAAGAAGUCAUCUUCACACUGAGGACUUCAGCAAGUACAAGAACUCUACUCUCCUGGACUCCAGCAAAGCAGUGGCCAUAGAUAAGAUGCCACAGAUCUCAAAUCUGUCAGCAAUAUUAGAACCUGUACCGGAGGAUUUUCAAGGCCAGUGCACUAGAAGAAAGAGACCACCAAAUUUCCAAUACAGCUCUUCAGCACUGAGUGUUUCAACUACUCUGGCAGCCUGA
ensembl:lncRNA